GACGAACGCUGGCGGCGUGCUUAACACAUGCAAGUCGAGCGGAGCGGCGAACGGGUGCGUAACGCGUGAGUAACUGCCCCCCUCUCUGGGAUAACAGUUGGAAACGGCUGCUAAUACCGGAUAGUGGGGGAUGACUCGCGGCCUAUCAGCUUGUUGGUGGGGUAGUGGCCUCCCACGGCGACGACGGGUACCCGGCCUGCGAGCGGGACCGGCCCCAUGGGGCUGAGGUACGGCCCAAACUCGUACGGGGGGCAGCAGUGGGGAGUAUUGCACAAUGGGGGAACCCCUGAUGCAGAAACGCCGCGUGCGUGAUGUCGGUCUUCGGGUGGUAAACCGCUUUCAGCCAUGACGCGGUAGUGGCAGAAGAAGCACCGGCUAACUACGUGCCAGCCGCCGCGGUAAUAC
rnacentral:rRNA from 1 species